rnacentral:rRNA from 1 species
AGUGAACGCUGGCGGUAGGCCUAACACAUGCAAGUCGAACGGCAGCACAGUAAGAGCUUGCUCUUACGGGUGGCGAGUGGCGGACGGGUGAGGAAUACAUCGGAAUCUACUUUUUCGUGGGUGAUAACGUAGGGAAACUUACGCUAAUACCGCAUACGACCUACGGGUGAAAGCAGGGGAUCUUCGGACCUUGCGCGAUUGUAUGAGCCGAUGUCGGAUUAGCUAGUUGGCGGGGUAAAGGCCCACCAAGGCGACGAUCCGUAGCUGGUCUGAGAGGAUGAUCAGCCACACUGGAACUGAGACACGGUCCAGACUCCUACGGGAGGCAGCAGUAGGGAAUAUUGGACAAUGGGCGCAAGACUGAUCCAGCCAUACCGCGUGGGUGAAGAAGGCCUUCGGGUUGUAAAGCCCUUUUGUUGGGAAAGAAAAGCAGCAGGUUAAUACCCCGAUGUUCUGACGGUACCCAAAGAAUAAGCAACGGCUAACUUCGUG